rnacentral:rRNA from 1 species
UACGAAGGGGGCUAGCGUUGCUCGGAAUCACUGGGCGUAAAGGGUGCGUAGGCGGGUCUUUAAGUCAGGGGUGAAAUCCUGGAGCUCAACUCCAGAACUGCCUUUGAUACUGAGGAUCUUGAGUCCGGGAGAGGUGAGUGGAACUGCGAGUGUAGAGGUGAAAUUCGUAGAUAUUCGCAAGAACACCAGUAGCGAAGGCGGCUCACUGGCCCGGUACUGGCGCUGAGGCACGAAAGCGUGGGGAGCAAACAGG